UAAAAUGUAUUUAGCAAAUAUAUUGGUAUUGGUGUGGAAGUCCAAGGCAGCCUCCUCUACAUUCUUUCAAUGUAGGCUAAAGGUUAACACGCAAUGCGCAGACCGGGGGAAGCCGAUCAUAAGUGAUGACGGUGGGAUUACCUGCUUUCUAAUUUCAACGCCGUCCGCUAAUUGCGGAAUAUUCCCAAUUGAGGAUGUAGCAAAUGUGUAUCAGUCCAGUCUUGAGUCUCACUCAGUCUUCAUUAGAUCGGCGCGAGCAUCGCCCCGAAUUCGUGCUUCGCUCCACGUCGUCGAUUUUCGAAUUCACAUAAUUUCAGCCUUACCGCAAAUCACAUGAUUUUACGCUGUCCCGACCGAAGUUCACCUUAAAUAUCUGUGUUACAUAUCGUCUGUUAAAUUUGUGUUAAAAAUCUUCGAUUUUCGGAUUAUCAUAUUUUUGGCCUCACCGCAAAUCGCAUAAUUUUAGGCGGUCCCGACUGACGUUUUCUUAAAUUAUCUGUGUGUCCAUGAAGUAAAGUUCACUUGCUGCACGUGGUUAACAACCGUUCGGACGAUAUCUUUAUUUAUGUGCCACGCCUCGAAGUUAAGAACAGAACCAACGCUAAAUCGAAUCUGUUCUCCGUGCGGUUUCUGCAAAGUUCGACAGUUAAUUUAAUGCUGUUUCUGAACGGUCUAUACUAUCUGUGAAGCAUCGGAAAUUUUACGAAAAUGUCAGAACUUGCGUGGACUCGGUCACCUCUCGCAGAUUACAAUUUUGGGUGCCUCAUUGUAUUUUUGUGACUACGUUUAUGGUGGUUUCAGAUUGGAGGGAAGAGAAAUUUUCAAAUACCGUCCGACCCAUCAUGCUUUUAUGCUAAACUACCGCCAUCGCUACCUGCGAAAAAUAUAAGACGGAACUACCUUCAACUGCGAUGGACGACAUCCGCACAACCAUCAACGACAGCAGUAACAACAUUCAAGCAACACUCAACAUCAAUCAAGUGACGCAGGGUUGUCUGCAGUUGGCAAUUAAUCGCAUUGCGUUCCACGCGUUGCGCGCUCGGCUCAAUCAGGCGUUGUAACAGCAACCUCAUAUUUCUGGAGUCCUUUUUACCGCCAAUGAUUUUAAACAUCGGAUGCAUUCUCUGCACGCAGGUAAUCGCAUUCUUGAAUGUGAACCAUUCUUCAAGUGUGUUCAACUAUUUGGGCAUGUAAUUCUAUUUUUCAGGCGGAA